rnacentral:rRNA from 1 species
AUACGGAGGGUGCAAGCGUUACUCGGAAUCACUGGGCGUAAAGAGUUGCGUAGGUGGCAUUAUAAGUGGAGCGUGAAAGCGUGCGGCUCAACCGCAUUACUGCGUUCCAAACUGUGAAGCUUGAGUACGAGAGAGGUAGAUGGAAUUCCCAGUGUAGGAGUGAAAUCCGUAGAUAUUGGGAGGAACACCGAUGGCGUAGGCAGUCUACUGGCUCGUUACUGACACUAAGGCACGAAAGC